UUAGUAUUUUUCAGAUUGUAUCGAUUCAUAUGUAAACACCAAAAAGUAAACUAAUGCUAAAGUCACAUGCUGUGUAACUUAGCAACAGACUGUGACAUCACUGAUAUCAGAGAGCCCCAUUUUAUAAGUUGCUUAGCAACACGGUUAAGCCAUAACAUUCUUCGAGCUCUAGAGUGAAGCACGUAUUGUGAGACUAGGGAAAGAUUUUCAGAUUUACUCAAGUUUUUGUGUAAUAAACAGCGAACGAUCACGCACAAAGAUUCUGCCAUGGACAAUCCAAACUAUACUGAAGUUGAGAGGAAGACCAGUCCUAAAAGGAAGAAAAAAGUGACGUUCCCUGGGCCAGUUGAGUCUCCUGAAUCUGAGCCUACAAAACCAUCUACCAGCAACCAAGACAACACCCCAGUGAGAAAACUCAAGAAAAAAAGAAAGGAAAACAAAGAAGGAGAAAUAAUAAAGCCAAAGAAGAUGAAAACUUCUCUGAAAGAGUCUAGCACUAGCAUGGCCCGACUAGAUGAGACAUCUUCAGAUGGUGUACAAACCAAAAAUGUUGAGAGGCAGCCUUUCCCCAGAAAGAAGAAACAGAAGAAGAAACAUGUAAACCAGGAACCUACUGAAUCUGAGCCUUCCCAACCAUCUAGCAGCACCCCAGUGAAAACACUAAAGAGAAAAAGACAGGAAGACAAAGAGGAAGAAGAAACAAUAGAGUCAAAGAAGAUGCAAACUCCUCCAAAAGAUUCCAGUGCCAGUGACGCCAAACAAAUUCCAACCUCCUCAGAGAAAACUGAGAGGGACGACUUGAUUACCGAUAAAGAUAAAUUUGAAGCCAAAUAUGUGGAAGAAUAUUACUUUGCUUCAGGAGGUUAUGGAUCCAUAUAUGAGGGCUUUCGCAAAUCUGACAACCUACCAGUCGCCAUCAAGCACAUUUUCAAACGGAAAAUCCCAAAUGAAAAAAUGGAUGAUGGCAAUGGAAAAAUGGUUCCUUCUGAAGUGGCCAUAAUGUUAAUGUUAGAAGAUGAAUCCAUUCAUUCAGAUGGAAAAGCAGCGCCAGUAGCCCUGUUGGACUGGUACGAGAUCGGUGGAGAAAUCCUCCUGGUCAUGGAGAGACCAAUCCCUUGUGAGGACCUACUUCAUUACCUUGAUACCAAAGGAGGCACACUGCAAGAAGAAGAAGCCAAGAUCAUAAUGAAGCAGCUAAUUCGCACAGCCAUAGACCUUGAGGACAAAAAUAUCUUCCAUCAAGACAUCAAAACUAACAACAUCCUCAUUCAAACCCACACAAAUACACCACAAGCUCGUCUGAUAGACUUUGGAGUGAGCUGCAUGGCAGAAAAGGAUUCCAUCCUCAGAUUUUCAGGAACUCCCAUAAAUGCCCCCCCAGAAGCAUUUAGAGGCUUUUGUAGCCCUGGACCAACCACAGUGUGGCAGCUUGGAGUAGUUCUGUAUGAAACCCUCCAUUACUGCAACGAUUUCUCCACAAAACAUUUUCUCGAAGGGGAUCAGAUGAUUGACGAUGAACUGUCAGAAGAAUGCCAAGACUUUUUCCAAGCAUGUUUAAAUACCUCUGAAAAACAGCGCCCCAACCUGCAAGACCUCCUCCACCAUCCAUGGCUCAGAUAAACACACACACAAACACACACACACAGGGACAGAGAACUCAAAAGUCUGAAUUUUUAAAAAGUUUAGAAAUCUUAACAAAAGUCACAAGCCUAAAUUGACCUUAGAAUAUAAAUGUAGAGUGUAAAGGAAAAUGACAAAUACUAAAGUUUAGCUGCAAGUUGGGGCAAAUGAUGGCAAUAUUAUAAAAUGAAAGUUGGUUCAGUUUUUAGUCUUAGUACUACGUAGGAAACUAUGCCAGAUUUCAAAUUGGAAUUGGUUUAAAAAGUGGCAUUUCCCAUGAUUACUAGGUCCUGUGUUUACCAACACUUUUGCUAAAGUACCCCAAACUUAAACGAUACACUCCUUUUUUCAGUCUCCUUUUGGUUGGAUGUUUGGAAACAACGGCACUAGGCAGCGUUAAAAAACAGAAUGUUAAAAGAAAUGUAGUAUAGUAUAAUUGAAAAUUCAGAUGGUUAAAGUUAGUUAACUAGUAAAAGGAAAACUGGAGAAAGGCUCCUCACUGGCGUUAAAUGCCUUCUGGGUUCUCUGUCUCCACUGAUUGUGCUAAUGCUGACUCUCCCGGAAAGACCUGCCUCGUUUUCCUUGUUCCAGUGACCGGGACUCGUCUGUGUUGUUGUGACCUUCGUGGAUGCCGUGUGCGGAUGUCCUCCAGAGAGAGUUGGCAGGACCUUCGGGGUCUCACAUUUUGGACUCCUUGGCUUGGUGGUGGUGGUGCUGGUGGGGGGGUUGUUACAGUGUGCUGCUAGCACACUUUUUCUGCGGCUCCUUUAACCCCCCUGCCGUCGUCUUCAGAGAGAGCUUGAGCAGAAAGAAAAACCUAAAAACUAGGAGGGGACGUGCAAAAACCAGGCAAGGCUUUUGAAUUCAUCUGUAAAAACGUAAAAUUAGAAUCGCAAAAAUCAUUUUAAUUAGAAGCGUACGUCUAACAAGCUUUCAUAGUGUUUAGGGAAUCUGACUAUUUUCCGAAAAUAAGCAAAUAGAAACCACAGUGUUAGCAUUCCGUUUAAAUCAGCUAAUCAAGAAAACAUUUAUAAAGUCUUUGUAAUUUCCAUAACUGAUCUCAAACAAUAAAAGAAUAUUAGACAUAACUGAGAUCAAAUGAGGAUUCAUAUUGCUAAAGCAUGUGCCAAACGUAUAAAGGGAAAAACGCAUUAGGAAAGGGCUACCAACCCAAACUGAACACAGGGGGGAAAGAAACUUAGGGACAACCAAUAGUCUGUAGUUAAAAAGACAGAUCUGGUCCCGUUACACGUAUGUGGGUUUUCUCCAGGCCCUUUGGCCUUCACCCACAUCUUAAAGACGUGUCUCAAAGUUUAUUUGUUGCAUACCGAAACCUAGCUUUUCUUGAUAAAUUGGGAUUUAAAAUUCUUGAAAAGAAUCGGUUAAAAUAGGACCGUCCAAACCUCAAACAGCUUUCUACAUGAACUUUUGCAACUCUGACGAAGCAAAAAUUAAAUUAAGAGACCUAGUACACCAAAGCGUACUAGGUCUUCUAAAGCAAAAACAGUCCAUUAAAAAGCAUUUGCACGUCCCCUAACUGGUUUUUAUAAAUUUGGCAUUACGAUUGGUGAAAUAAAGAAGGCAAAAUUGGAA